rnacentral:rRNA from 1 species
CCUACGGGGGGCAGCAGUGAGGAAUAUUGGUCAAUGGGCGCAGGCCUGAACCAGCCAAGUAGCGUGAAGGAUGACUGCCCUAUGGGUUGUAAACUUCUUUUAUAAAGGAAUAAAGUCGGGUAUGUAUACCCGUUUGCAUGUACUUUAUGAAUAAGGAUCGGCUAACUCCGUGCCAGCAGCCGCGGUAAUACGGAGGAUCCGAGCGUUAUCCGGAUUUAUUGGGUUUAAAGGGAGCGUAGGCGGAUUGUUAAGUCAGUUGUGAAAGUUUGCGGCUCAACCGUAAAAUUGCAGUUGAUACUGGUUUCCUUGAGUGCAGUUGAGGCAGGCGGAAUUCGUGGUGUAGCGGUGAAAUGCUUAGAUAUCACGAAGAACUCCGAUUGCGAAGGCAGCACACUAAUCCGUAACUGACGUUCAUGCUCGAAAG